AGCCAUUUUACUUUUAAGUUAAAUAUGGGAUGCAGUGUAUGGAACAUCAAUAAUCUAGUAUGAAAAAUUAACGAUUUAAGUCCUUCUUAAAUGAGGCCAUUUACCCAUAGAGGGUGCCAGGCCCGUAUAACGUUAAUGAUUAUUAGAAGAUGUUUCCAAAGAGUCGUGUUGCUUGAUAGUGCAGCACUAAGUGGGUGGUAAACUCCAUCUAAAACUAAAUAUAACCAUGAGACCGAUAGUAAACAAGUACCGUGAGGGAAAGUUGAAAAGAACUCUGAAUAGAGAGUUAAAUAGUACGUGAAACUGCUUAGAGGUUAAACCCGAUGAACCUGAAUAUCCAUUAUGGAAAAUUCAAUACUAAUAGAAUAGUGUGCAAUUUUUCCAUAUAAGGACAUUGUAAUCUGUUAAUGUUAUAAAUAUUUAUCAAAAGAUUCUUUACUUAAGUUUAUUCAAAUUCAACAUAAAAUAAAUGUAUUGAAUUAGAUAAAUCAUUGACAGAUAUAAUUAUAUAAUAUGCUUAAAUUCAUUUGAAUUUUGCAAUAUUGCCUGCAUUUAUUAUGAUUAACAAUGCGAUAGAUUCAGGAUACCUUCGGGACCCGUCUUGAAACACGGACCAAGGAGUCUAACAUAUGUGCAAGUCAUUGGGUAUUUAUAAUAAAACCCAAUGGCAUAAUUAACUUAACUAAUGGGAUUAAUUUAUAUUUAUUCAAUCCCGGGGCGUUCUAUAUAGUUAUGUAUAAUAAUAUUUAUAUUAUUUAUACCUCUAACUAGAGCGUACCUUGAGCAUAUAUGCUGUGACCCGAAAGAUGGUGAACUAUACUUGAUCAGGUUGAAGUCAGGGGAAACCCUGAUGGAAGACCGAAACAGUUCUGACGUGCAAAUCGAUUGUCAGAAUUGAGUAUAGGGGCGAAAGACUAAUCGAACCAU
rnacentral:rRNA from 1 species